ensembl:lncRNA
GAUGUGAUGUCACCAUAAAGGGCCGGAGCCUACAGGACUGGCAGAUGUGAUGUCACGGUAAAGGGCCGGAGCCUACAGGACUGGCAGAUGUGAUGUCACCGUAAAGGGCCGGAGCCUACAGGACUGGCAGAUGUGAUGUCACGGUAAAGGGCCGGAGCCUACAGGACUGGCAGAUGUGAUGUCACCAUAAAGGGCCGGAGCCUACAGGACUGGCAGAUGUGAUGUCACGGUAAAGGGCCGGAGCCUACAGGACUGGCAGAUGUGAUGUCACGAAAUAUAGGACUGGCAGAUGUGAUGUCACCGAUGUGAUGUCACCGUAAAGGGCCGGAGCCUGCAGGACUGGCAGAUGUGAUGUCACCGUAAAGGGCCGGAGCCUACAGGACUGGCAGAUGUGAUGUCACCGAUGUGAUGUCACCGCAAAGGGCCGGAGCCUGCAGGACUGGCAGAGCCUACAGGAUUCUGAGGGUUUGUGAACUGGGUAUAUCUAAACGUAAUUACACGAAUGAAUUAACCCCGCCCCAACACCCUGGUCAGAGGGAACUACGAACGGUCUUGGUGUGCUCUUGUUGUUUAGAAACCGUGACAUCCCAGAUUAGUUCCUGCUAAUGAAACAUGUCGUCUGACCUCAUCCCUGAUUCAUCCCCUCUUCCUGUAUUGAAGCCGACAUCAUCUGACGGUCGACACACUUAACCAAUGGUUGGGCUGUGCUCUCGCAGUGGUCAGACCUGAUCAAACGGCCGAGUUCCAUGCAUUUACGUUGCAUUUUCUGAACGCUGAACACAUUGUGGCAUCGUCCAAACGUUGUUUCUGAACUGGAGACACCGAGAAAGACACCGAGGCCGGUCAAGCGAGCGCAACGAUUGCUUAAGAAUUUCACGUUAUUCCAUCUGUAGUCACAUCGGUGUGUGGCAUCGUGCUUUCCACACUAAUAAACACCGUUUAAAUUUAACUGAGUUUAACUGAGAUCGAGAGAGAGAGAGAGAGGAGAAUUGAAGAACCAUAACAUAAAGACUGAAAGGGAGAGAGUGACAGACAGAUCACAGCUUUUGCACCCCAGACUGAUCUAGUUGGUGGAAACACCAUUUACACGCUAACUAUCUGCUACAUGGGACAAUAUUUACAUAUUUCAAACAGUAAGACUUAAACAGCUUCAGACAGAAAAUCUUAAACAGUUGGUAUGAGAGUAGGCUAUUACAUAACUGUUCCACAGCGCAUGGGGGGGAAAAAGAGUGAAAUUGCAGGGGAGUUUAGUAAUGGAAGAAGAGCUGAAACGUUAAAAGCGAAGGUUAGAAUUAUAGUACAAAGGCCACUGCUGAAAAGGUCUCUUACCAGACUAGAGGUCCAGUAUGCUCAGAUGAUCCACUGUGUGUAUGUGUGUGUGUGUGUAUGUGUGUAAAGAGAGAAGAGUGUUAGCUCUCUGCUUGUCAACAGCUGCAGCACAAGGUCAUUAAUGAGUGUGUUUGAAGACAGGGCUUCUUAUGCCACCUAGUGGCAGGCUGGUGGAACCACAGCAUUUCUC